rnacentral:misc_RNA from 1 species
AAGACUAUAGACCUGCGGAGUACCUGCGGAAGGAUCAUUACAAGUGACCCCGGUCUAACCACCGGGAUGUUCAUAACCCUUUGUUGUCCGACUCUGUUGCCUCCGGGGCGACCCUGCCUUCGGGCGGGGGCUCCGGGUGGACACUUCAAACUCUUGCGUAACUUUGCAGUCUGAGUAAACUUAAUUAAUAAAUUAAAACUUUCAGCAACGGAUCUCU